UACGGAGGGAGCUAGCGUUGUUCGGAAUUACUGGGCGUAAAGCGCGCGUAGGCGGCUUUGUAAGUUAGAGGUGAAAGCCCGGGGCUCAACCCCGGAACUGCCUUUAAGACUGCAUCGCUUGAAUCCAGGAGAGGUGAGUGGAAUUCCGAGUGUAGAGGUGAAAUUCGUAGAUAUUCGGAAGAACACCAGUGGCGAAGGCGACUCGCUGGACAAGUAUUGACGCUGAGGUGCGAAAGCGUGGGGAGCAAACAGG
rnacentral:rRNA from 1 species